AGCGCUUCAAAGCCCUCCUGAUCCCGCCCCCAUCCUAGGAGCCAUCACCCCGCCCCCAUUCACUUUCCCUGCAGCCCAGAAGCGGCGUCGUGCCCAGGAGCAAGGAAUAAAGCUACAGGGUUAGCUACAAGACUGAGCUGCAUAAGCCACUGCAAAUGCGGCCACAACACGCGCGAAUGCAGCUCGGGUAAGAAGAGAUGUGUGCACAGGUGUCAAAGUAAAGCUCCGCUUCGGCGAGAAAACAGGAUUACCAACGUCUCCUCUCAGCGAUUCGGCCGCCCGAAGUAGAUGGAGCCUAGAGCACUUGUGGUUCAAAGGGUUGCCCACAAUCGCAACAGACUCACACUCUACUGAGUGUCGUCACGCAGACCGUGCCACGCCGCGCAGCACCCCACGCACGCGAGGGCAGGGCCGCGCCUAAGGCGCUUCUCACCCCGCCCGCCUCGUGGCCGAUCCCUUUGGCGUCGAUUUUUCCAGUUCGUCAGAAGUGCAGUCCGGAAGUGGGAACGGGGGCGCGCAAGAGGUGUCAUGCGCAGUCUCGGUCGGGGGACUGGAAGCGCGCGCACCCAAGGCUGCCCCCGCGUCAGGCCGGGCCUGGGUAGGGCGCGCGAAGCUCUCGCCGCCGAGUGCUUCGGAAGACUCAAAUAAAACCCAGGAGCUUCGAACUCUCGAAAGCCUCCAUCAAGCCAGUACUAAACAAAUGCCCUCCACCCAGGCCCAAGAGUUACCGUGCUGGGCGCGGCAGACCUCACCCCGAGUCCUUCACAUCCCGCUGGGGGCGGGUUAUUCCGUUCCGCUCGCACACCGUGCAGCCAGCUGAAGAGACUGCGCGCGCACCACCUCCCCCCGUCCACGUCACCGCGCACGCGCUUCCGCCACAUACCACUGCGCAGGCUCAGAAUUCUCGGCGCGAGGCGCCUGGCCCACCCCCAGCCCCACCCCACCCCCGACAACCCCACCCCACCCCCAGUUCAGGAGGCCAAACAGACCGGCAGAUGCGACUGGGCCUUCGAACCCGCUUUUCAAACUGAGUUCUACUUUUUUCCCCGUUCGUUGCGUCCCGGUCCCCAGCGCUGAAGUUUCUGGAAACGAGAGAGGCGGGGCAGGCAAGACGCACCCCGAUUCCCUCAGUCUAACACACGAAGUCUUCGUGAAAACAGGGAAAUCGUCGCUAGCCCUGACCUCCCCCAAGCGCGCGUGCACCCCCCUCCUCCGCGCUUUGCCCGCCCAGCUUUCGCUCCCCCAGCUCCGCCUGCCCCUAGCCCCGCUAGAGCUCAACAUACCCCUACUCUCCUAAACGCUCUUCAAUUGAGGGAGGGCUUUGCAGCUCAGCGUGCCAGUCGCCUUGGCCUGCGCCAAGAUUUCUGGAAACUAAAAGGAGUGACCUUGGGGCCCAGGUAGUCGAACGUGCCCAAAGGUCACGGACAGCAUUUGUGGCAAUCAGAGGCGGGCCUUGGGGCUCUGUUCCUAAUCUUCCUCCGGAGAGAAUCGAGGAGGGGUAUCUGAGAAGAAUGAGACGGAUUUGCCCUGAAUUACUUAUUCCAAUAAAAGAACACCAAAAAAGAAUGAUUCUGAUAACCAUUAAAGUAAUGCCAGAGGAAAUGAGAGAAUAAUACCCUGGAAGGCACAAA